rnacentral:misc_RNA from 1 species
UACCAGAAACGGUGGGAACCGGUGAGUGAGGUAGAAAGAGAAAGAAAAGACAAGUGAAUCUUCCUCGCGAUGAAUGGAACUAGAAAAUAUGAAUGGUCUUGGUCAGCGUUUUCGAGCUAUAGCGUUCAACGAGAUAUCCAGUACAUGAAUGUCAUGGUCUCGAAUAAUUCGUAAAUAACGAACGAAUGCUUUGUCGGUAUAAUGAUAUGACGAAAAGACGAAACAAAAUGACGAAGGACUUAGAGUAAACGAUUUAAAAAAUGAUAUCUCUAUAUCCAAGAUUUCGGAUAAAGAAGAGAAGUAAAAGAAAAGGUGACCGCAAUACGAAAAUAGGGUCGCUAGAAGACCGGAACGCCUUUCCUCCUUAUUGCGUUCACUGUACAGCAUUUCCGCAGGAAGUUGGUGCAGUGUCUGUGACGAGUUCGUUCGUUUUACUGGUUACCAACUUCUUACUAGUACAUUUAUCCUUUUGACUAUUAUUUAUAAACAAAGUAUAUCUUCUAUCUUAUAAAUAAUCUACACUAUACCAUAUCUAUACUAUAUCUUUUAUAAAUAAAGCAAGUCUUCUUAUAU